AAUCGAUCACCGAGUUCAUCGUCACCGGGUUAGCUUUAGCAGCCCGCCUCCCGAGCCACAUGACACGGGUGACAGGAGGCUGGCUCUCGGACGAGUAUCGCUAACACCGCGGACGUGGAACUAUUGUGGAACCUGUGAAACAUGGCUCAGGCAGAGGAUAUCUUUGUCAGGGCUAAACAUCGAACGUUCCGUGGACUUACCGAAGAUAUGGAGCAUGAGUGGACCGGUCCCUUCUACUUCAUUCAGGCUGCAGACCCCCAGCUGGGCCUGAUGAAAGCCUGGCGAGACGGUGACUGCCACGGUGGGGGAGAUGAAUGGGAAGAGGAAGUUGUGCUCACCAAACAAGCGGUGGCGGCUAUGAACCAGCUCCGACCUAGCCCAAGGUUCAUGGUGCUGUGUGGUGACCUGGUGCACGCCAUGCCAGGCUGGCCUUUUAGGGAUGAUCAGGAGCGAGACCUAAAGGACGCCUUGAGGGGGACAGACCCUUCCAUUCCGCUUGUGUUUGUCAGUGGCAAUCAUGACCUUGGAAACACUCCUACCCCAACAACCGUGGAUCAGUACUGCACUGCAUGGGGAGAUGACUAUUUCAGCUUUUGGGUGGGUGGAGUCCUAUUCCUGGUUCUAAACUCUCAAUUGUUCUAUGAUGCUUCGGCCUGUCCUCAGUUAAAGGAGGCCCAGGAAACGUGGCUCGAAGAGCAGUUGAGCAAAGUCUCACAUCCCUCUCGCACGGCACCGAAACACAUCAUAGUGUUUCAGCACAUUCCUCUGUAUCUAAAGAACCAUGAUGAGGAAGAUAACUACUUCAACUUGCAGAGGGAACUCAGACAAAAACUGAUUGACCGAUUUAAGAGAGCUGGGGUGAAAGCAGUCUUCUCUGGCCACUAUCACCGAAAUGCAGGCGGCUGCCAUGACGGCCUCGACAUGGUCGUGAGCUCGGCCAUCGGCUGCCAGCUGGGCGAGGACCCCCAUGGCGUCAGGGUGGUUGUCGUGACCGCCGAUCAGGUGACCCAUCGUUACCACAGCUUGGAGCAGAUGCAAAGAGCAGGGAUGGACGAGGACCUCAGGAAGCUCCUGCAAGCCUGAUGACCAGAUCCCCAGAUCUCUAUCCCGUGUUUCUGCACUCUGUCAGCUUUGCCAAGUUUGAAUCCCGGGUAGCACCCAAGUGAAAAAACUCCAAAAGUGGGUUUUGUUUGAAGAUGAACCGGAAAUGUAACUUGAGGCAUAGGAAAGUGGUUCUGGCUGCUCAGUACAAUAUGGCUACAGCUAAGUCAUUCUUUAUGGUUGCUUGAGUAACACACGUUAUCAAACUCAAAGGUGAGUACACAAUGUAUUGUUUUUAUGUUUUAAUACACUGUGUUUUUUUUUCACUUCUAUGAUGGUUUGGGGCAGUCGAGUGGUUAGCGCGCAGACCUCACAGCUAGGAGACCAGGGUUCAAUUCCACCCUUGACCAUCUCUGUGUGGAGUUUGCAUGUUCUCCCCGUGCAUGCGUGGGUUUCCUCCCACAUUCCAAAAACAUGCUAGGUUAAUUAGCCACUCCAAAUUGUCCAUAGGUAUGAAUGUGAGUGUGAAUGGUUGUUUGUCUGUAUGUGCCCUGUGAUUGGCUGGCCACCAGUGCCUCUCGCCCCAAGACAGCUGGGAUAGGCUCCAGCACCCCCCGUGACCCUCAUGAGGAAAAAGCAGUAGAAAAUGAAUGAAUGAUGGUUUGGUCCGACCUGGAGAAAGGAACCUCGUAUUCGCUUCGUCAUCGCUGAGGUUGCAUGCACUUCCCUUAAGAAUUGCCUCAGUUCACUAAGUUAGUCGCAGUUCCUCUUUCCCAUAAGAGAAAUUGUUUCUUAAUCGAAACAAAUGAGAUGUUUGAUUUGGCCUCCAAAAGUGUUGAGCGUGAUAUUUUUGCUGCUCAAACACGUAGACGUACAUACAAUAUAUACACAUUCAUCGGCACUUCACCCAAGGGCAUGACUCAAAACAUGCUGCCGAGUGCACAAGUCCUUUCACAAUUCAAGUGGAGGUGGUGAACUCCGGGUUAAAGGUCACGUCCUUUUUCAAAGCGCAUGCACGCUGGAGCGAACCCUCCCAAAUCAUCAGUGGAAACUCACAAAAAAGGCCUGAAUAUUUGGGCUCAUUGAUGAAUGCUGCUUAUAAAGUGGUGAGCACAUAACUGGUUGCCAGAUCUUCUUGGCUCCAUACGGCUCAUCUAAGCUUGUGGCACAGUCGUGUGAAGGUUCAUCACCUUGAAAACCAUAGUAGAACAGAUCCCGUUGAAUUACAUGGUCCAUAACACAGCUUUUGCUGCAAUAGAGAAGCUAUUUCACAACACAGACGUUCUCCUGAAUAAUGGAUAAAGACUUAAAAUCCCAUUAAAUGACCUGCCACAGUCUAGGAUGACUUACACUUUGUGAGCUGGUGUCGAAACAACGCUCUUUACUUCCUGCUUAAAUCACCAUUCUCUCUAUGAUUAGCAAUUGAAGUGUUAGCUUGAAUUACACGACUGGCUAACAGGUUUAUAAUAAGAAAUGCUGAUAUUAUACAAUGACCUUCAUAUUAUUAUUUAAUUCUGCUUUCCUUGGUUACGCUUCCAGGGAUGGAAUAAAUAGUGAUUUAGAGAAAAUAAUAAUAAUUCACCAAUAUUUUAGUUGUAGUAUUAGUGUGUGGAAUAAUAAGAGAAAUAGGGAAAUUAAGGGAAUAGUACUCCCAAAUGGGUAUUAAAUAGGGUGACAAAAACACUCAGAUGUAGAUCAAACAUGUACAAGACAAGUGUUUAUUAAAUUUACAAAUUUGGCCCAAUAAUCUCACAUAAAAAUUCCUAAAACUCACUGGCUAACUCUGAACCCUGACGUCAUUUCUUGUCCGCAUGUCGUUCACAUUUAUAGUAACACACACACAUGAGUCUUAUUUAUGUCUUAAAUGGUUUAUUUACUCAUAUUACGUCUACCAUAUUGGGUAAUAUGAGUGUAAAGGUGGAUGUAGGGGUGUUAUUUCACGUUGAGAGGGCUCUAAUCAUGUUGAAAAGCAUAUUUAGAUGGUAGGAAACAGGUUUUCUAUUCUUUUAACUAUAAAAAAUAUUCCAUUUAGAUUGAAUGAAUCCAAUUUUGUGGAAACUCAGUCAUCCCAGUCGGAACCAAUUAACCACAAAAAAACGAGGAAGUACUGUACUUCCCUAAUAGACUGGUGGGACCCGAGUUGGACAUCGUAAGCAUUCAGUUGUCCAAAAUGUCCUGGUAAGUUCAAGGAAUGGGAUUUAAGGAGUGGUCAAAGCUGGCUUGAUGAUGGAAUAAUCAAUCAAUACUUUAUUCCAUAAAAUGUAGUUUUGUUGUAAAGAUAAAGAUAAAUAAGUCCAAGACAAACACACUUAGUUGGCUCUUGCUACCAUUGCCCCAUCAUUUACCCAUGUAGCCCACAGGUGUCGGGGGGGGGAUGAGUGGAAGUUGGCACAUUGAAAUGGUCAGGGUUGCCACCCCUGCUGGCACCGAGCCCGCUGACAGAUCGAGCCAUCUGGGCAGCAGACAUUCGGUGACAGGCCCGUUCAUCCAUCGCUGCAUCCCGCCGCCAGCUGGACAGACUUUGAGAGCUGGUGGCGGCUCAGCUCCUAAGUGGCUCGCUACGCUAAAGCGUGUUUUGGUGAUUCAGGGACUCGCUGGGGUCAACAAUGUGCAUUAUCACAGCAUUCGAUGCAGCUGCUAGUCGCAUGUGUGCUCGGUGUAUUGUGUAUUCUGUCAUCAUAACGGCUUACGUGUGCCACUUUAUCUCAAACAAAGUCAUCUUGUUUGAAUUCUCCCUGCAUUCGUCUUUAAUGGUGAAUCAUUUCAAAAUAAUAUGGACCCAGGUAAUGCAUUAACAAGAACUGGAAUCCCAGUUUGCAUAAUCUUUGGGUUGGCUUUUUUUCAUUGACUCAGUCAGAUAUGGAACAGAAGGCUCCAUGACAUUUACCCACAAUACUGUUCUUCACACCAACGCCGACUGGACUCCCACUCUUUCCGAGUGGAGAUGGUAAGAUAGUUUCACCACUUUGUUUUGGACCCGAGACUCACGCUUCUCCAUGACAAGCCACCUGUUGACUAAAAAAGGAAGUGGACCACCAGAUGGUGACAUGUUUCCUUCUAAUCUAUUUUUAGAUUUAAUACAGAGCAAUGAUUCAUGUGCAAAAUCAAUGUGUAUUAUUACAGUCAUGCAACUAGUGUUGUCAUGUGACUUCCAAUUCCUGUUCAGUCAGGUGACAGCUUGUACUUCAAAAUAUAUAUAUAUAUACACCCUUUUACAGAGAUAUACACACACAAACCCUCUUUUACAUACAAGAAUUCAGACUUUGGAAUAGUCUGAAUCAGUUGAGGCUGCACGGCGGAUGAGUGGUUAGCGCUCAGACGUCACAGCUAGGAGACCAGGGUUCAAUUCCACCCUCUGUGUGGAGUUUGCAUGUUCUCCCCGUGCAUGUGUGGGUUUUCUCCGGGUACUCCGGUUUCCUCCCACAUUCCAAAAACAUGCUAGGUUAAUUACCGACUCCAAAUUGUCCAUAGGUAUGAAUGUGAGUGUGAAUGGUUGUUUGUCUAUACUACGUAUGUGCCCUGUGAUUGGUUGGCCACCAGUCCAGGGUGUACCCCGCCUCUCGCCCCAAGACAGCUGGGAUAGGCUCCAGCACCUAGAAAAUGAAUGACUUGGUUGAGCGAUGUGGAAGUACUAGCAAGUAAUAGCGGUUUCAUUGAAAAGUGUGGAUUUUGGGAAAUAUUUGUUGUUGUUUGUUUUUAGCAUAUAGGUAGCCUGAACGUGUUUAACAGUUUGAUGUAGGAAUGAUUUGAAUCGGUUGAGAAAUGUGGCAGUAGUGUCGGGUACAGUAGUUAUUUUAGAGAAAAGGGUUAAUUUUGGAUCACCCCCUAAAUUUUAUCGGUUCUUCUGCAUCCCAUUUCCGACAAUUCCCGAGAAUUAUAUCCAUAUUAUUGUGUUAUUUUGAGCACAGGCAAACAUUAUCUCAGAAAAGUAGGCAGCCAAAACGUGAGACAGGAGGUUCUUCAUUAAGCGCUUAGUGAAAUUUAAGUAAAAAUUACUUUUCCAAUUAUCCCAAUCAUUUGUGAGUGUGUGGGGGGUGCAUGCAUUAUUAUGUGGAAUGCUGAUCAUAUUGCAUCUUAUCUGUAUUGGAAACCAUUUUUGUGCACUCAUGUCGUUCUUGGAAAUUAGUCGCCUCUCAGUCGCUAAUUAUCAUGUUGAGUUUGAUGUGUGUAGAAUACUAAUUGUUGGAAAUUUAAGUUUGUCUUGCAUUCAUUCAAUUUCAUUAUAUGUUUGUGUGAGAGAGACAAAGAGAGAACGUUGCUGCCUUCUUUCUGCUGGUGUCAGGUGAAAUGUGCGCAUUCCCAAGUAGUCAGAAGGCCCUCUUGAGUCAUAAAAGUUCCUGCCGGCUUGAGUUUUCUUUUAGGCAGCCGAUCAAUUUCGGCAAUAGCAGUGCAGCAAUUCCCGCUGUCAUCACAGCGCUCUCGCUUCGAUGUUGCAUUGACCCCAAGGAGGUGCUCAGUGUGGCAGCUGAGUGGGAAUGGAGGCGUUUCAAACCACCUGCUUUACCCCAAGGACACGCACACACAUUGUCUUUGUGCAUAUCCACACUGUGACAUCACACAAAGUUUGCAAAGCUCCCACUUGCACACGUCCACAGGCAGAUUUAAAGAUGCUGGCAAAUAUUUAAAACACACCCAUGCGGAUAUUUUUAUCACAUGCCUGUCAGUCAACACAGCGGGACGGGAAGGCACAUCUGCAUGCCAUCACUAUGGCCGUCCAUACACUAACGAGUAAUAAACGGAGUGGAACAUCAUCACGGGAGAUGCAGGCUAAUGAUACGCUAAACUGUCAGGUGCAUGGCUGAAAGUGCCUGCGGUGCGAGGGAACAAUCACUCCUCGUGAUUUUAAUAUUCCGUGUGGAGGAAGGAUGGAUGGAUUGCCCCGGCUUAGUGAGCAUAGUGUAUGUUCCUCGGUUCAUCCAUUCUGAGGGGACAUCUAGUCUCGUCUCUGGCGGCUUUAAUUGCAAAUGUUAAUCUGAAAUCAGGGCGGCACGGCGGUUGAGUGGUUAGCGCGCAGACCUCACAGCUAGGAGACUAGGGUUCAAUUCCACCCUCGGCCAUCUCUGUGUGGAGUUUGCAUGUUCUCCCCGUGCAUGCGUGGGUUUUCUCCGGGUACUCCGGUUUCCUCCCACAUUCCAAAAACAUGCUAGGUUAAUUGGCCACUCCAAAUUGUCCAUAGGUAUGAAUGUGAGUGUGAAUGGUUGUUUGUCUAUAUGUGCCCUGUGAUUGGCUGGCCACCAGUCCAGGUGCACAUGAAAAUAACUAUUUAUCACACACCAACUUAACACUCAAAAGUUAGCUAAGAAAUAUACAAGUACCAAGAUAAGUUUAAGAUAAAAAAACAAAGGCUGCACGGUGGACAUGUGGUUAGCGCGCAGACCUCACUGCUAGGAGACCUGAGUUCAAUCCCACCCUCGGACAUCUCUGUGUGGAGUUCUCCCCUUGCGUGUGUAUGUUUUCUCCGGGUACUGUAUGAAUGGAUAUUUGUACUUGGAGUUUGGAGCAUUAUUAGAGCCCUCUUAACAUGAACUAACACCCCUAUAGUCACCUUUACAAGCAUAUUACCCAAUUUUUAUGCUUGAAAAUGCCAAAAAUAUGUAAAUUUGUUUUAAUUUGCAGAUUUUUGACUAAUAAUAAACCCAUUUUAAUCACCAAACAGUAUGAUUUAUGAAUAUAUUUUUGAAAAUCAUGACAGGGUUAAGCCAAAUUUCUUGCAUUUGACUCCACAGAAAGAACCAAACAAAAACACACACACCCAUGGGUUCAUGUAAAAGGGUGCCUCUGUGUGUUUGUGGCUAUAAUUGCAUUGCUGUAACAUGUUGACAUUCAAAAUCACUAAUCUGUUUUUGUAAUUAGCCAGGCAGCACAAAAAUAGAGGCUGAGUGAUUAAAAGAAGGAAAAUCCAACCAAACGGGCUUUUUCUGACACAUUCACUGAUGAAGCAGAGGCUCAGCACACAAAAACAAUUACCCUUUCACACACGGCGUCAACGACACAAACACCCGCCGUUGCACGCACUCGGUCAAACGCACACGCGUAUACUGUACAUACGCUGCCGUCACAAUGCUAAUUAAUCCACAUAUCUUUUCCCACACAGGAUCUCUUUGGCUUUCAUCCCUCCCUCAAUUAGACUGAACUUCCAAGUGCUCUGUUACGUGUUUGGAUUAGGGAGAAUUUAUGAAGGAAUUCUAGUGUUGUGCUUUUGCCUUUGACUUACGGCAUUAAGCGUUUGACAGCUAUCUGAAACCUUUGUGUUUAGAUAUGGCGUAAGUGUUUCAGCUAAACCGUCCUUACGUUGCUGAGUUGAGUGAGCAUGUGCAAUCAUGACCUUGCAAUCACGCUCCUUAACUCGUCUUCUUUUUCUACUCCGCUGAGCUGAGAGAUGGGUCAAAGCCAGAGUAAACGGCUCUUCCGUCGUGAUCUUUGACCCCCUGCCUCUUAGCGCCUUUGAAACCCUUGACAGCGAAGAUCUUGAGUGUGAAUAAUCCCGCCGAGUACUGAGGUUUUUCUCCUCCAGAUCACCGGUCCCUGAUCUACCAAUGUAUGUUAUGUGCUGCUGCCAAAUAAUAAUAUGUAAUAUACAUAGCCCAUUACCACGUAGCCUUUUUAUGCAUUUAUGUUCAGACCCCGGGGUCUCGUUAAUAAAGGCCCGAAUACGCACAAAAAUAUCAAGGUAAAUAUGAAUAUGGACCAGCUCUAACUGGCUGAGUGACGUCGACACAAGCGGUUGUCGACAUAAAUUUCAAUUUAAAAAAUUUUUUGAAAAUUAAAAAUUGUAACAAUUUAAAAAAAUUUAAAUAAAAAAAAAAUUUAAUUAAAUUUAAAGCUCGCCAUUGCUUAACAUCACGGUUAUGUCUAACAUCCAUAAAAACUACCCAGGAUGAGGUUGCUCCUGAGAGACACCAAAUGAGACACUAAUAAAGCAUGCAAGUCCCUAAGCAGCGUGUUCGAUUCCCUCCAAUAUUCUGAAGCCUCACUCACUGAUCAAGCGCUCCCUCUAAUGCGUCACGGGCGGCCACUGUAGCAUGUUGUCGACAUAAAUUUAAAUUUUAAAAAUGUAAAAAAAAAAUUUCAAGAUUUAAAAAAUUUAAAAAAAAAAUUAAAAUUUUUAAAUUAAAAAAUUUUUUUUAUUAAAUUUAAAGCUCGCAAUUGCUUUACAUCACGGUUAUGUGUAACAUCCAUAAAAACUACCCAGAAUGAGGUUGCUCAUGAGAGACACCAAAUGAGACGCUAAUAAAGCAUGCAAGUCCCUAAGCAGCGUGUUCGAUUCCCUCCAAUAUUCUGAAGCCUCACUCACUGAUCAAGCGCCCCCCUCGAAUGCGUUACGGGCGGCCACUGUAGCAUGUCGACAUAAAUUGAAAUUUUAAAAAAUUUUUAAACAUUUUAAAAAAUUUUAAAAACAUUUUAAAAAAAAUUUAAGAUUUAAAAAAAAUGUAAUUACAAAUUUUAAAAAUUUAAUUUACAUUUUUUUUUUUUAAAUUACAUUUAAAGCUCGCCAUUGCUUAACAUCACGGUUAUAUCUAACAUCCAUAAAAACUACCCAGGAUGAGGUUGCUCCUGAGAGACACCAAACGAGAUGCUAAUAGAGCAUGCAAGUCCCUACGCAGCGUGUUCGAUUCCCUCCAAUAUUCUGAAGCCUCACUCACUGAUCAAGCGUCCCCCUCUAAUGCGUCACGGGCGGCCACUUCGGCCUGCAAAGACUUUCCCCCUCCUGACACAUCCUGACUCCAACCCUCCAGCCUGUCUUGAAUUAUUCAUCUAAUAGAAGCCCAAUUCUCCAAGCCGCCACAACAAACAUUACAGGUAUGGAUUGUGUUUGUCUCUCUUGUCCCUUCAGCUCCUUGCCAUGCAUUUCUCAUGAUUUUUUACACAUUACCAUCUUUUAUUGUCACUGAUAAUGUAUGCAUAUUACAGCCUAGGAAGCACGGAGGGCUUUUUACUUUUGGUAAUCAACUCCCAGCUUUACAUAAACAAAGAAAUGACUUGUCUGUGUGAUGGAGCAUUACAUCGCCUGGUCUGGCUGCUGCUGCUGCUGCUGCUGCUUGACCCGGCCGGCACUUAGUGGCAAAAAAAUGUGCUGCUUUUCAACCAUCAAACUGAGACGGUGAAGUAAUAAUCCCAAUUUGUGCAACAUGCAGCAGCAGCAAUGCCAAUUUGCCAUUUUACGCUAUAAUCCGUCCGUUAAGGUGCCAUUUCAGUCUGCCUGAGAUGGAACACAUGUACCGCCUGCAGCGGCUGUGGCAGCGGCGUCCAACGUUGUGUAUUUCUACAACACAUUCCUCGCUUAACACUAAAAGGCUACCAGGGAGUGACAAUGGCUGAUACAAGCUGUUGAAAUAAUAGCGGAUUUGAAGGCGCCAAUCAUCAGCAGCGGUUGGUGACUUCAUUACAACAUUAGUUGUAUUGUGCAACCAAACCUUUGUUACAUUUUUAUUUCUCAAAAUGCCCUUUUUUUGUUUUUUUUUUUAAUAGUGCAACCUUGGUUAGCAUCAUUCAUUUCUUCCAGGAAGUUCAACUCUAACCAAAACGGAUGCUAACCAAAUCAAAGAUGUGAUUCUUGAUGUAACUGAAAACAGAUUUUCUUUGGGUUCUGUGUGAAAGAUGGAUACCAAGUAAACAGUUCCAGUACAGUAAUGCCUCGUUUAUCCCAGUUAAUUGCUUCCAUACUGUGAUAAGAUCAUUUCCGUGAAGUAGAAUUCCUUAUUUAUGAAUGAAAUAUUUUCUCAGAGCAUAAAAAGCCUAUUUCCAACCUUCUAAAUAUGUUUUUUAACAUUAUUAGAGCCUUCUAAACACCAUGGGCCACUCGAUCCGCAACUUGGGCCUUUUAUUGUGGCCAACCUAAGUGUCAGGUUUAAACCCCAACACUUGUAAAAAAAAAAAAAAAACUGCCUGUACAAAGGAAGACACAGAGAGGUGAGUUUCUUUUUACUUGCAAGGAGAGUGAAGGAGACUGCACAGUUACAAUCCUCCCAACCAACUCUGAAACAGUCUCCUUUCUCCAUGCUUUUAUUCAGUUAGGAACGCCCUAGUUACAGGAGAUUUCAACUGAUAAGGGGAAGGGGGGGGGUUUAACUAUUCCAGUUGAAACCGGUUCUUUCGUACAACAUGUUAUCCAUAGUGUGUGGGUAUCUCCUCCUUGGCAUGUGAUCUUCUGGAGACACUCACACACACACACACACACACACACACACACACACACACUCUUUGAGGUCACAUCUACUUCUGACCCGUGCAGCUAUGGUAUGAUAAAACUAUCUGCUGAGAGAAUGUUCUGUUCUCUCUCUAAUCAUGAUAUACACCAAAUGUGCAAGCGACACAACAUUAAUCUUACUUUUGCCACGUGAAUGAUAUGAAAUGCUUGUAGGUCAUAAGAGUAUAGUAAAAAUAGAAUAACUUUAUGUACAAUUCACGUGUAACUUGUGAAAUGGAUGAAUUAUGAAUGCCAGCAAAAAGUAAAGUGUUUAUGUUUGAUAAACAUCCCUACUAUUCAGAUUAACUCCGCUAACUCUUCAAAACUAACUCAGCAAGGAAAAAGGGAAUAAGUCUCUUCCGAUGACUUCCAAGAUGGAAUGAGAGUAGGUUCCCUUCUCUUCCCGAGGCCAAGCGAAGCGUUUUCCCUUCGAGUCCUGUUGACUCUGUGGCUUCACUUCCCACUUCCAACACAAAGCAUCCCGCCUCUUUUUUUUUUUUUUCCUAAUGAGAGCUACGAACGGCCUUCAGCUGUUUUCCCAACUCGCUCUCUCUCCUUCCCUUCCCUUCCCUACGCUGCAAUGGCGGAUAUCUCAUUUCAUCAUAUCCUCUGGCACGGCAUCAAUUUCAAGCUGUUAUGCUGUCAUUUACAGUAGGGGCCUGAUUCACACUUGAGACUCACACGUGAAGAAUCUCAAGAGUGCCAACAAAACAAUAUCAUUCCUCCAAGCACAUUUACGGCCCAUUUCCGUCUUUUCAUGUAAUAUAAAACUGUAAUAAAAACCAAAAUAAAUGUUUUUCUUUCCUUAUCUCUGCCCUUCUGUCUUUGUUAUGUUUCAUAUUUCUUCCUCCCCGACAUCAAACUGCUGCUGAUCAGCGUCCAGAGAACACAACACCAACACACACAUCAUUCCAGAGGAGCUUGUGGGAAGCCUUUGUUUGCAAAUCAAAGUACUCCACUGCUCCCUGUAGGCUUCAUGUGGAAAGUGCAUGACUUUAAUCGACUUUUUUUUUAUGUGUAGGCUUCUUGGCCUGACAUGUUUGACUACGGGUAUAAAAGUGGUGGCAAAGCCAUCAAAGGAUUGCUGCUUCCCAUCUACUGAAAUAUCCCCUGGUUGCUCCUUAACAUGUGUCAUGAAUGGGAAUCAAUUCCCACAGCGGUAUAUUUAUGUUCUUAUUUUAUUUUAUUUACAUGUUCAUGGUCUAUUUGGAAAGUUCAUUCAUUCAUUUUCUACCGCUUUUUCCUCACGAGGGUCGCGGGGGUGCUGGAGCCUAUCCCAGCUGUCUUCGGGCGU